GAACGGGUGAGUAACGUGGGUGACCUGCCCUCCACUCCGGGAUAACCUGGGAAACCGGUAAUACCGGAUAGGACCUUUGGGUGGCCGGGGUGGAAAGUUUUUCGGUGGGGGAUGGGCCCGCGGUCUAUCAGCUUGUUGGUGGGGUGAUGGCCUACCAGGCGACGACGGAUAGCCGGCCUGAGAGGGUGAUCGGCCACACUGGGACUGAGACACGGCCCAGACUCCUACGGGAGGCAGCAGUGGGGAAUCUUGCGCAAUGGGCGGAAGCCUGACGCAGCAACGCCGCGUGAGGGAUGACGGCCUUCGGGUUGUAAACCUCUUUCGCGAUCGACGAAGGACGGUAGGUCGAGAAGAAGCACCGGCC
rnacentral:rRNA from 1 species